AUCAACUCUGAGACGAGUCCCAAACGGGACGAAACGCGCGUCCUGGAU
rnacentral:hammerhead_ribozyme from 1 species